UCUGACACAGUCAGGAGCAUCAGCUCUAAGUCAGUGCUGCAGGGAUCACUUCCAUUUUGAGCAGGCUUUCAGUGUUGGGAGACAUUUCUUCUCCUUUUAUCAUCUGGUCCUCUUGCUCUGUGACCCAGGGAAGAAGGCAUGCUGUGGGCUCUAGCCCUACUUCUAGCCAUCCUGCCUCCUGGUAAGUAUGUGGCAAAGAUGCCCAUGGGAUGUGGUUUUCCCCUCAAAGAGGCCAUAACAAUGAAUCCCAUUACCUUUUAGCCAUUAAUUUUUAUUGUUGUUACCAUUCCAGGCAGUCAAACAUCUUCCAGUUUGGAAAGGAGAAUGAUAUCAGUCACGAGUUCACCUGGGUCAAACGUAGUAAUCACUUGUGAUUUAUCAAGUACCUACAUCCACUGGUAUCAAUUCAAGGAAGGGCAGGUCCCAAGACGCCUCCUCUACUAUAAUAAUUACAAUUACAGGGUUGUGGUGGACUCAGGAAUCAGUUCGACGAAAUAUGAUGCUAAAAUAACAGAUGGGAGUUAUCAAUUAAUAAUACAAAAUCUUGGUGACAGUGACUCUGCUGUGUAUUACUGCGCCUACUGGACUAGCACAGUGGUUCAGACCUGCCUUUAUCUAUACU
rnacentral:lncRNA from 1 species